AUUGAACGCUGGCGGCAGGCCUAACACAUGCAAGUCGAGCGAGCGGCGGACGGGCGAGCAAUUUCUGGGCAACUGCCUGAUGGACGGGGAUAACUACUGUAAACGGUAGCUAAUACCGCAUAACAUCCGAUGUGCCCUGAUGGGAUUAGCUAGCGGGUGGGGUAAUGGCUCACCAAGGCGACGAUCCCUAGCUGGUCUGAGAGGGUGAACAGCCACACUGGAACUGAGACACGGUCCAGACUCCUACGGGAGGCAGCAGUGGGGAAUAUUGCACAAUGGGCGCAAGCCUGAUGCAGCCAUGCCGCGUGUGUGAAGAAGGCCUUCGGGUUGUAAAGCACUUUCAGCGGGGAAGCGUUACUCGCAGAAGAAGCACCGGCUAACUCCGUGCCAGCAGCCGCGGUAAUUC
rnacentral:rRNA from 1 species